rfam:Fructobacillus fructosus KCTC 3544 strain DSM 20349 Scaffold10, whole genome shotgun sequence.
GGGCUCGUCCCGGAAUUCGACAGGCUAUUACGAGCGCUAGCUGCAUUCCGCCAUCUGGGCGUUAAGCAGGCAGACUAUUUAACUGCAAAAAACAAUAACUCUUACGCUGUCGCUGCCUAAAAACCAGUGACACGUGGGUAUACUCGUUAGGCUAACAUGGUGAGUAUACUCUUAUAAAUGGUUAGCUCGGUUGCAUGACGAUGUCGGCGCGAUGUAACUUAAAUCAAUUCGAUCCCAGCCAAAGUCAAGUUCUGGACAAUGGCUGCUUUGGUUGCGGUAACAAUGAUUGCCCUAUGAAUGUAGACGCUAGCGUGGCGGAUGGUUUGGACAGGGGUUCGACUCCCCUCGGGUCCAUUG